GAAUACCUCAUGUGCAUCUGUUAUUUUCAUGAAGUGUGCAGCUGUGGUCUUUUAAGUGUUUUUGGUUUGUUUGCUUGCAGUGUUUAUUUUGUUUCACUGUUUUUUUUCUCUAUUUGUUUGUUCAUUUAUUUGUUUGGUUGCUUUUUGUUGUUGCUCAGACAAAAUACUGGCCUCAGGAUUUUUUCAACAUACAUAGAAAACUUCCUGAAACAAGGCAGAAAGUGGAGCAUUAAUCAGACAAUUAAAAGAUCUGGUGUUUAUUUUCCCGUGUGAAAAAAAUAUUUAUAUGUAAAUUUUCACAAAAGAAUUGGUGCUACACCACCAAAAGGUCAUCACAUUUUUAAGGUAAGAGUCAUACUUCUACAAUGUUUCAUAUCUAGGUACAUAGAAGAAAGUGUCAUGAAUGGAGAACCAGCCAAGAAGUCAGAAACGAAAGCUUUUCUUAUGAGCAUGAAAUAAAGUGAAUGAAUGAGAAAAUACACAAUUCAGCACUGAACGAAGAAAAAUAAUGUAGCAAGUUACUGUUUCCUGUCCUAACAGUAAAAGACCUCAGACCACACAGAUUCAACUCUACAUAACUUGGAUCACAUAAGGCAUAAACAGAUUAAUCUGUAUGGAAAUCCUAAUAUUUGAGCUAUUGCAUAGUUUUGGACCUGACCAGAGCAUGUUUUGUGGCAUCCUACCAAACUGUCGAUUUUUCAUCUUCUUCUGUCAGAUCUGUGCACACAAACACAUAUUUUUGCCACCACCCUUCAUGAAGAAAGAACCCAAUGGGAGGAAACUGUCCACCUCCUCCCUGCUGCCAUCAGACACACAGUCAAGCAGGCAAACCAGAAGGUGAGGACUGAAAUAGAGUGAAGAGUCAAGAUGUGUACAAUCAGAGGACAUAUAUGAUAGUAGUGAUGUUGAUAAGACUGGUUAAAAAUUCUUCACCAAACAGCUUUCACAGUUUCUUACUAGAAAUCUGACUUUUUGACAGUGAAUAUUUUUGUGGGAUUCUCCAUAAAUAUUAAAAAUCAUUUUCUUUUUCUGUCCUCCAAAGAAAAGCUGAACAUUUGCACAGAAGUAAAUCAUAAUUAUCUUUAAUAAUGCUCUGAAACACAUGAGCCUUUGAAGAUUAUCGUAUCUGAACUGGAAUAUCAG
rnacentral:lncRNA from 1 species